rnacentral:sRNA from 1 species
CCGUAGCCAUUUUGGCUCGCUUAAG